rnacentral:rRNA from 1 species
AGUCGAGCGAACGGACGAGAAGCUUGCUUCUCUGAUGUUAGCGGCGGACGGGUGAGUAACACGUGGAUAACCUACCUAUAAGACUGGGAUAACUUCGGGAAACCGGAGCUAAUACCGGAUAAUAUUUUGAACCGCAUGGUUCAAAAGUGAAAGACGGUCUUGCUGUCACUUAUAGAUGGAUCCGCGCUGCAUUAGCUAGUUGGUAAGGUAACGGCUUACCAAGGCAACGAUGCAUAGCCGACCUGAGAGGGUGAUCGGCCACACUGGAACUGAGACACGGUCCAGACUCCUACGGGAGGCAGCAGUAGGGAAUCUUCCGCAAUGGGCGAAAGCCUGACGGAGCAACGCCGCGUGAGUGAUGAAGGUCUUCGGAUCGUAAAACUCUGUUAUUAGGGAAGAACAUAUGUGUAAGUAACUGUGCACAUCUUGACGGUACCUAAUCAGAAAGCCACGGCUAACUACGUGCCAGCAGCCGCGGUAAUACGUAGGUGGCAAGCGUUAUCCGGAAUUAUUGGGCGUAAAGCGCGCGUAGGCGGUUUUUUAAGUCUGAUGUGAAAGCCCACGGCUCAACCGUGGAGGGUCAUUGGAAACUGGAAAACUUGAGUGCAGAAGAGGAAAGUGGAAUUCCAUGUGUAGCGGUGAAAUGCGCAGAGAUAUGGAGGAACACCAGUGGCGAAGGCGACUUUCUGGUCUGUAACUGACGCUGAUGUGCGAAAGCGUGGGGAUCAAACAGGAUUAGAUACCCUGGUAGUCCACGCCGUAAACGAUGAGUGCUAAGUGUUAGGGGGUUUCCGCCCCUUAGUGCUGCAGCUAACGCAUUAAGCACUCCGCCUGGGGAGUACGACCGCAAGGUUGAAACUCAAAGGAAUUGACGGGGACCCGCACAAGCGGUGGAGCAUGUGGUUUAAUUCGAAGCAACGCGAAGAACCUUACCAAAUCUUGACAUCCUUUGACAACUCUAGAGAUAGAGCCUUCCCCUU